rnacentral:rRNA from 1 species
CCUACGGGUGGCAGCAGUGAGGAAUAUUGCGCAAUGGCCGAAAGGCUGACGCAGCGACGCCGCGUGGAGGAUGAAGUCCGUUAGGAUGUAAACUCCUUUUGCAGGGGAUGAAUGUUCCGUUUCACGGAAUUGACCGUACCCUGCGAAUAAGGAUCGGCUAACUACGUGCCAGCAGCCGCGGUAAUACGUAGGAUCCAAGCGUUGUCCGGAUUUACUGGGUGUAAAGGGCGUGUAGGUGGAUUUCUAAGUCGGUGGUGAAAUCCCGCGGCUUAACCGCGGAAUUGCUUCCGAUACUGGAGAUCUUGAGUUCGGCAGAGGGAGAUGGAAUUCAUGGUGUAGCGGUGAAAUGUGUAGAUAUCAUGAAGAACACCGGUAGCGAAGGCGGUCUCCUGGUCCGAUACUGACACUGAGGCGCGAAAGCGUGGGGAGCAAACAGGAUUAGAUACCCUAGUAGUC